AAAUUUCCAUGAGAUCGCACUAGGGUGAUGCUUACGUUUGGGUUGACUGUUUUCUGCAAUUGCUGUUGCUAAUUCAGAAGAAAUGCAGAGACAAUGAAAUGAAGCAGAAAAUUUUCAAUUGUAGAAGCAGAAAUGAAUUGCUGAAUCUGGGCAGUGCUGAAUUUGGACAGUAGGCAAACUCUGAGAAAUUAUUGCACUUGAACUACAAAUCCAGAAGCUAUAGAGGAAAGGAAAGGGCAAGGUGUUGAUGUCACUGUCGAUUUCAGAUGUUGCUGCUGUAAA